CCAGGCUGCCGGCCUGGAACCCAUCCUAGAUCGAUGAAGAAGAAGAAGAAGAGGCAACUCCAAAUGAACAAUCAACGCGCUCGCGUCACGUAACCUUUACCUGUACCUGCAACUGGUGUUGUAGUAAUCUGUGAGCCACAGGGGACUCAGCAAUCUCAUUUCCAAAGGUAUCAAGACUAGCAAAGCUUAAUGGGUGAGG
rnacentral:lncRNA from 1 species